rnacentral:rRNA from 1 species
AGAACUUGAAACCGUGUGCUUACAAGUAGUCAGAGCCCGUUAAUGGGUGAUGGCGUGCCUUUUGUAGAAUGAACCGGCGAGUUACGAUCUGAUGCAAGGUUAAGCAGAAAAUGUGGAGCCGUAGCGAAAGCGAGUCUGAAUAGGGCGAAUGAGUAUUUGGUCGUAGACCCGAAACCAGGUGAUCUACCCUUGGUCAGGUUGAAGUUCAGGUAACACUGAAUGGAGGACCGAACCGACUUACGUUGAAAAGUGAGCGGAUGAACUGAGGGUAGCGGAGAAAUUCCAAUCGAACUUGGAGAUAGCUGGUUCUCUCCGAAAUAGCUUUAGGGCUAGCCUCAAGUGAUGAUUAUUGGAGGUAGAGCACUGUUUGGACGAGGGGCCCCUCUCGGGUUACCGAAUUCAGACAAACUCCGAAUGCCAAAUAAUUUAACUUGGGAGUCAGAAUGUGGGUGAUAAGGUCCAUAUUCGAAAGGGAAACAGCCCAGACCACCAGCUAAGGUCCCAAAAUAUAUGUUAAGUGGAAAAGGAUGUGGCGUUGCCCAGACAACUAGGAUGUUGGCUUAGAAGCAGCCAUCAUUUAAAGAGUGCGUAAUAGCUCACUAGUCGAGUGACACUGCGCCGAAAAUGUACCGGGGCUAAACAUAUUACCGAAGCUGUGGAUUGUCCUUUGGACAAUGGUAGGAGAGCGUUCUAAGGGCGUUGAAGCAUGAUCGCAAGGACAUGUGGAGCGCUUAGAAGUGAGAAUGCCGGUGUGAGUAGCGAAAGACGGGUGAGAAUCCCGUCCACCGAUUGACUAAGGUUUCCAGAGGAAGGCUCGUCCGCUCUGGGUUAGUCGGGUCCUAAGCUGAGGCCGACAGGCGUAGGCGAUGGAUAACAGGUUGAUAUUCCUGUACCACCAUUAUUCGUUUUAAGCGAUGGGGGGACGCAGUAGGAUAGGCGAAGCGUGCUGUUGGAGUGCACGUCCAAGCAGUGAGAUUGAGUGUUAGGCAAAUCCGGCACUCUUAAGAUUGAGCUGUGAUGGGGAGAGGAACUUGUUCCUCGAGUCGUUGAUUUCACACUGCCGAGAAAAGCCUCUAGCUAGAAUAACGGUGCCCGUACCGCAAACCGACACAGGUAGUCAAGAUGAGAAUUCUAAGGUGAGCGAGCGAACUCUCGUUAAGGAACUCGGCAAAAUGACCCCGUAACUUCGGGAGAAGGGGUGCUCUUUGAGGUUCACGCUUCGAAGAGCCGCAGUGAAUAGGCCCAAGCGACUGUUUAUCAAAAACACAGGUCUCUGCUAAACCGUAAGGUGACGUAUAGGGGCUGACGCCUGCCCGGUGCUGGAAGGUUAAGAGGAGUGGUUAGCGCAAGCGAAGCUACGAAUCGAAGCCCCAGUAAACGGCGGCCGUAACUAUAACGGUCCUAAGGUAGCGAAAUUCCUUGUCGGGUAAGUUCCGACCCGCACGAAAGGCGUAACGAUUUGGGCACUGUCUCAACGAGAGACUCGGUGAAAUCAUAGUACCGGUGAAGAUGCCGGUUACCCGCGACAGGACGGAAAGACCCCGUGGAGCUUUACUGUAGCCUGAUAUUGAAAUUCGGUACAGUUUGUACAGGAUAGGUAGGAGCCUUAGAAGCGUGAGCGCUAGCUUACGUGGAGGCAUUGGUGGGAUACUACCCUAAUUGUAUUGGAUUUCUAACCCGCAGCACUUAUCGUGCUGGGAGACAGUGUCAGGCGGGCAGUUUGACUGGGGCGGUCGCCUCCUAAAGAGUAACGGAGGCGCUCAAAGGUUCCCUCAGAAUGGUUGGAAAUCAUUCAUAGAGUGUAAAGGCAUAAGGGAGCUUGACUGCGAGACCUACAAGUCGAGCAGGGUCGAAAGACGGACUUAGUGAUCCGGUGGUUCCGCAUGGAAGGGCCAUCGCUCAACGGAUAAAAGCUACCCCGGGGAUAACAGGCUUAUCUCCCCCAAGAGUUCACAUCGACGGGGAGGUUUGGCACCUCGAUGUCGGCUCAUCGCAUCCUGGGGCUGUAGUCGGUCCCAAGGGUUGGGCUGUUCGCCCAUUAAAGCGGUACGCGAGCUGGGUUCAGAACGUCGUGAGACAGUUCGGUCCCUAUCCGUCGUGGGCGUAGGAAAUUUGAGAGGAGCUGUCCUUAGUACGAGAGGACCGGGAUGGACAUACCUCUGGUGUACCAGUUGUCGUGCCAACGGCAUAGCUGGGUAGCUAUGUAUGGACGGGAUAAGUGCUGAAAGCAUCUAAGCAUGAAGCCCCCCUCGAGAUGAGAUUUCCCAACUUCGGUUAUAAGAUCCCUCAAAGACGAUGAGGUGAAUAGGUUCGAGGUGGAAGCGUAGCGAUACGUGGAGCUGACGAAUACUAAUCGAUCGAAGACUUAAUCAA